CCUCAAUUUCACAGUCCACUGAACAUAGAAAAUGAAAGUGGGAGUUUCAGGUUAAAGUUUUUUGUCAAGGUAGUUUUUGAUGAAGCUGAAGUCCAACUUGAAACUUAGUACACUUGUUGCUUAUGAUAUGAUCUUUCUGAUUUUAAAGCCAAAUUAGACUUUUGGCCCCAAUUUCACGGUCCAGUGAACAUAGAAAAUGAAAGUGGGAGUUUCAGGUUAAAGUUUU
rnacentral:lncRNA from 1 species